rnacentral:rRNA from 1 species
GGAGCCUGAGAAACGGCUCCCACAUCUAAGGAAGGCAGCAGGCGCGCAAAUUACCCAAUGAAAACAGUUUUGAGGUAGUGGCGAGAAAUAACAAUACAGAGCAUUUAAAUGUUUUGUAAUUGGAAUGGUGGGAAUCUAAACCCCUUUCAGAGUAACAAUUGGAGGGAAAGUCUGGUGCCAGCAGCCGCGGUAAUUCCAGCUCCAAUAGCGUAUAUUUGAGUUGUUGCAGUUAAAAAGAUAGUAGUUGGAUUUCUGUCUUGGCUUUUACGUGUAGUACAUGUAUAUUAAUUUAUAGAUGUUUUAUAACAGCGUUUAAACUUUGACAUAUUAUCCCAAUGUGUGUAUGUGUGUGUAUAUAUAGAGAAAUAGGUUUUAAAACCCUGAUUUAAUAUAUAUAUAUAUAUAUAAUCAUUGGGACUUUUACUUUGAGAAAAAUAGAGUGUUUCAAGCAGGUAUUUUUUUGCCUUGAAUACUGCAGCAUGGAAUAAUAAUAUAGGACUUUGGUUUUAUUUUGUUGGUUUCU